rnacentral:rRNA from 1 species
UGGGGGAUAUUGCACAAUGGGCGAAAGCCUGAUGCAGCGACGCCGCGUGGGGGAUGAAGGCCUUCGGGUUGUAAACUUCUUUUGCUCUGAACAAGGCAUGCCUUUGGGGUGUGUUGAGUGUAGGGGUUGAUUAGCGCCGGCUAACUACGUGCCAGCAGCCGCGGUAAUACGUAGGGCGCGAGCGUUGUCCGGAAUUAUUGGGCGUAAAGGGCUUGUAGGUGGCUGGUUGCGUCUGUCGUGAAAGCUCAUGGCUUAACUGUGGGUUUGCGGUGGGUACGGGCUGCCUUGAGUGCAGUAGGGGAGGCUGGAAUUCCUGGUGUAGCGGUGGAAUGCGCAGAUAUCAGGAGGAAUACCGGUGGCGAAGGCGGGUCUCUGGGCUGUUACUGACGCUGAGGAGCGAAAGCGUGGGGAGCGAACAGG